GACGAACGCUGGCGGCGUGCCUAAUACAUGCAAGUAGAACGCUGAAGGAGGAGCUUGCUUCUCUGGAUGAGUUGCGAACGGGUGAGUAACGCGUAGGUAACCUGCCUGGUAGCGGGGGAUAACUAUUGGAAACGAUAGCUAAUACCGCAUAAGAGUAGAUGUUGCAUGACAUUUGCUUAAAAGGUGCAAUUGCAUCACUACCAGAUGGACCUGCGUUGUAUUAGCUAGUUGGUGGGGUAACGGCUCACCAAGGCGACGAUACAUAGCCGACCUGAGAGGGUGAUCGGCCACACUGGGACUGAGACACGGCCCAGACGCCUACGGGAGGCAGCAGUAGGGAAUCUUCGGCAAUGGACGGAAGUCUGACCGAGCAACGCCGCGUGAGUGAAGAAGGGUUUCGGAUCGUAAAGCUCUGUUGUAAGAGAAGAACGAGUGUGAGAGUGGAAAGUUCACACUGUGACGGUAUCUUACCAGAAAGGGACGGCUAACUACGUG
rnacentral:rRNA from 1 species